GACUUAAGUCCGUGGUGGAAAGCGCGUUGAUGACCACUUGAUCUGCCACCUCAAUUAAUGAGGGAGAUCAAGUGGUCCACGUUUUUUUUGUAUUUUCUGAUUUUUGUUUUAUUCUUUUGAUUUUAAUUAAUUCAUAUUAAUUUUAAUAUUAAUCCAAAAAAUAUGAAUUUCCAUGGCCAUUUCGUUGUUUUUUGAUGAGGUUUUAGGAAUUUGACAAACCAUAUUUAAUUUAAUGCAUUAUUUUUAGUAUUUUUUAAUUGAAUAAAUGCAAAAUAAUUGUGUUGAGCCAUUUUGAUUGUUUGUAUGAGUUUGACUUGUGUUGUUGGGCCUUGGUCAAGGUUCAUUUGACUUUGCUAGGUUAAG
rnacentral:lncRNA from 1 species